UGGACAGGAGCUGCCUCGGCUGAAGCUGGAGACGCCAACGAAAGGUAAAGCAGAAGAAACUGAAGGCGCUCUGGCUGCCAGCUGCCUUCCUGCCGCAGGCAAGAGAGAGCCUGUCCCUGCAGGUGGAGGACGGCCUAGAGUCUGGAGCUGCAGAAGAGGCAGGGCGGAGAGGAGGGGAAAGAAGCAUCUGAACGGCUAAAUUGUGCCAGCAGCGCUGAGAGCGAGAGUCGCGGUGGAGGACGGCCUAGAGUCUGGAGCUGCAGAAGAGGCAGGGCGGAGAGGAGGGGAAAGAAGCAUCUGAACGGCUAAAUUGUGCCAGCAGCGCUGAGAGCGAGAGUCGCGGUGAGUCCUGGGCCACUGGGGCCCCGUUGCCUCUCUUGUGCGUCCUGGGCCCUCCCUGUCUCUCCCCCCUGGCCCCCUCUCUUUCCUUACCUGCUGCAAAAUUUUUUUUUUUUUUUUUUUGGCGCCCC